GGGAAUUUUGGACAAUGGGGGCAACCNUGAUCCAGCAAUGCCGCGUGUGUGAAGAAGGCCUUCGGGUUGUAAAGCACUUUUGUCCGGAAAGAAAACCGCUUCUCUAAUACAGAGGCGGGAUGACGGUACCGGAAGAAUAAGCACCGGCUAANUACGUGCCAGCAGCCGCGGUAAUACGUAGGGUGCAAGCGUUAAUCGGAAUUACUGGGCGUAAAGCGUGCGCNGGCGGUUCGNUAAGACNGAUGUGAAAUCCCCGGGCUUAACCUGGGAACUGCAUUGGUGACNGGCGGGNUAGAGUAUGGCAGAGGGGGGUAGAAUUCCACGUGUAGCAGUGAAAUGCGUAGAGAUGUGGAGGAAUACCGAUGGCGAAGGCAGCCCCCUGGGCCAAUANUGACGCUCAUGCACGAAAGCGUGGGGAGCAAACAGGAUUAGAUACCCUGGUAGUCCACGCCCUAAACGAUGUCAACUAGUUGUCGGGU
rnacentral:rRNA from 1 species